rnacentral:lncRNA from 1 species
UUCAUUUUUUCUUGCUCUUCGCUGAAAUUAAGAGAGGGAAAUAGGAGAGAAAAACUUCCACAGUUCAUCUUGAUUUCCUUGCUUGAUUUGUGAAGAAUCCAAAGGCCACCCUUAAUCCACUCCAAUAAACCUUGAGUUAAGCUUGGGAGGUGAGCCUUUGAUGGAGUUAUUUGAGGAAGAGAACUCUUUAGUUGCUUGUCAUUUUGGGAUUUUGAGGUAAAUUUUCUACAUAACAUCUCUUUUUUACUUGUCUCUUGAGAUUUAUGCAAGAUAUGUUAUGAUUGAAGUUAAAGGAAGCAUGUUCAUGGUAAUUUAUGGUUUUGCUAGGGUUUGGUCAAUUUCCAGCUUUAAUGUUCAAUUUUCUAACUUUGAGAUGAAUUUUCAACUUUCAUAAGAGAUGUUUUAGCUUUGAUAUGUGAAUUUUAAGCUUGGUAUGCAAAUUUCCAGCUUUGAAAGGUAAAAUUCCAGCCUUGAUGUAGUUACUUGAAGCUUUAUAUAUAUGGAGUUGUGAUGGAUUUUCUUGCCAAGAAUAUAUUCAUAAGCCUCAUGACAUGUUAGUUAUAAGAUAUAAUACAUUUGCCAUGGAAUUAAGUAAGAAAGUUGGGAAUUUUGAUGGAAAAUUUCUGUUAUGGCUGGCCGAGAGGGAAAGAAGGAAUUUCAGCUUUCUUUUCAGAAAUUUUGUGGUGAUUUUGAUAUACUCUUGUUCAAGACAUUUGUGAAAACCUUGCUCUUCAUAUAUAUGUUGAUUUUGAGCCAAAACAAAGAGGUAUAAGAGGGGAAAAACCUAGUUUUCCAAACUAUUUGCUUGCUAGAAAUUUUCGAAGGAGGCUCUGCACAGUUUUGAGAAAUUUGCUAUAACUUCGUAUAGAAAAGUUAGAAUUGAGUUUCAUUUGUUGCUUUUGAAACUAGACUCAUAGAUCUUCCAACGAUAUAAAAUCCAGGGUUUGGUUCAAUUUCUAUAAAUACCAGCGAAUCGGCAAAAUUCUCUUAAAAAUCAUAACUGUUCUGUUUCUGCACUUAUGAUAGCAGUAAGUUUUAAACUGAAAUUUGACUAAUUUAUGAGCUGAAUUUCAUGAAGGUGUCUUCUAAAGCUUGUGUGUAAGUUUUGUGAUUUUUCGACCUACGGAACUUGAAUUAUACGUUUUCAAAGAAUGUCACUAAAGUUGGGAAUUUUAUCAAAUGGAUUGAGUAGGACUUGAAAAACUUUAAAAAACUUUUUUGGGUUUUAAACCUAACUUUCUUUGGUUAAAUCCUGUAUAUUUUGAUUUGAAAUACUUAGUGUGUUAACCUUAGCAUGCAUGAAUGCUUCACUUGAUCUGAACUCAAUAAGAACUUGAUUUAAAUAAGGAACCGUGGCCUUUUUGGUCUUCUAAUAUUAGGGUUAAACCUGUGGCUUUUGUGGUUGCUAAGUGAAGUUUUGAAUCUUAUAUUUUCUCAUCAUCUCGACUUUAAGUGACUAGACUCUUGAUGUAUUACAUGAUCACAAGACUUAAAAGUGUCCAAGAGGACGAACCAAGGUUGAAGUGAAACGAUUAUGAUCAAGUGGUGAGUGUUCCUUGCAUGUUUGUGCUUUAAAUGACUAAGUGGAAUGUUGUGUAUGUUUGUUUGAGUGUUAAAUGCUUUCCAACGAUUGUUAAAUGGAUUUUCAAUGGACGAGUGUGUACUUUAUCUCACUUGACCUAAGUGAAAGUGGGUUUUCAAUGAUCAACUGAUUGAACAUUACUUGUGCAUGAAUGUAAACCAUCUGGCACUGUACUGUACCGCAUUGGUUGAAUUGGGCCCUUGCCCUUCGUCGCCAGCCUAUUCGAGCCAGAAGCGGAUUCAAUCGAGUAGGUUGAUGACCUUGGGCCACUAUUUUGAUACACUCAAGUAUAACCAUGAAAUCUGGUGGAGUACUGGCCAGUGAAUGAAAUGAUUACUGUUGGAGUUUUAUUUUCAAAUGUUUUCACAUGUCGGAAAUAUAAGGGAGAAAUGGUCGGAGACUGAAUGACUCCAAGUAAGCACGUAUUCUUCUACUGAAUGUGCUAUUGUUAUUUGAAUGCUUCAAAUGUUUUCCUUGGCUGGUUGUUGCUACAUGUAAUAUGCCCGUGAUUUAUUGCUUGAAUGCUUGUUUGGAAACCUUACUGGGCUUUUAGCUUAUUCUUUUAGUUUGUUUUCUUUACAAAAGUGGAUGGUCAGAGCAAAUAAGCGUGAAUUAGGGUGUAUAACCCUCUUGUACUUGUACUUUGGUAGAUAGAAUAUAUUUUGGAUAUUUGAUGUUGUAUCUUACAUUUCAUUUUUGGUUUGUAAUUAAACUUGAAUCAUUGGUUGAAUUAUAAAACUUAAAUGUUAUUUUGGAGGUCUGAACGGUUAUUUUGAUAAUUGAUUGAAGUAAAUGUAGUAAGUCUUGACCAGAGUUGGACAGACGAUCUGCCAAACCCUUGAGUACGCCCUAGGGUAGAAGAGAUGCUAGAGAUGGACGCAUAAAGAUACUGCAUGCAAAUAGGAGUAGAGUGAGGAAGUAAAUAUUGUCUACAAAUACAAAUUUGGCUGUGCUGUAAUGACAAUGAGCCACCCACUUCAGGGGUUAGGAGCCUUCCCAAUUACUACGAUGAGAGUCUUCAAUCAGUGGAGACAAUGACAGACACAAAGGGGUUGGCCAGGGCAGCCAUCUCCAAAUUUUCCAGAAUGCUAUAUAGAGUAUUAGAUUUAAGUUUUAUUUUAAGAUUAGUUAAUAUGUCUACCUCCUUUAAUUUCUCUUUGAAAACAUGUUUUGUAAUACCUCACUCCAGUUUCCUCUUAUAUAUAUAUUAAAUUUCAUUAUAA